GAUGAACGCUGGCGGCGUGCCUAAUACAUGCAAGUCGAGCGAACAGACGAGGAGCUUUCUCCUCUGACGUUAGCGUCGGACGGGUGAGUAACACGUGGAUAACCUACCUAUAAGACUGGGAUAACUUCGGGAAACCGGAGCUAAUACCGGAUAAUAUAUUGAACCGCACGGUUCAAUAGUGAAAGACGGUUUUGCUGUCACUUAUAGAUGGAUCCGCGCCGCAUUAGCUAGUUGGUAAGGUAACGGCUUACCAAGGCAACGAUGCGUAGCCGACCUGAGAGGGUGAUCGGCCACACUGGAACUGAGACACGGUCCAGACUCCUACGGGAGGCAGCAGUAGGGAAUCUUCCGCAAUGGGCGAAAGCCUGACGGAGCAACGCCGCGUGAGUGAUGAAGGUCUUCGGAUCGUAAAACUCUGUUAUUAGGGAAGAACAAAUGUGUAAGUAACUAUGCACGUCUUGACGGUACCUAAUCAGAAAGCCACGGCUAACUACGUG
rnacentral:rRNA from 1 species